rnacentral:rRNA from 1 species
GACGAACGCUGGCGGCGUGCUUAACACAUGCAAGUCGAACGCUGUGGCGAACGGGUGAGGACUACGUGGGUAACCUGCCCUCACUUUCGGGACAAGCCUUGGAAACGGGGUGUAAUACCUACUAAAGGUGGAUGGGCCCGCGGCCUAUCAGCUUGUGGGUGGGGUGAUGGGUUAUCAAGGCGGUGACGGGUAGCCGGCCUGAGCGGGUAACCUGGCACUUAGGGACGGAGAUACGGCCCAGACGCCGAAGGAGGGCGGCAGUGGGGGCUAUUGCACAAUGGGUGAAAGCCUGAUGCAGCGACGGUGCGUGGGGGAUGAAGGCUUUCGGGUUGUAAAGUUCUUUCAGAAUCGAACGGGUAGGUGACGAAGAAGCAACGGCUAACUACGUGCCAGCAGCCGCGGUAAUUC